UUGGCACCUUUAAAGAGGAAAGAAAAGAAGAAAGAACACGUCAUCGGCCUUGGACCUCAGGUGGCUGAAGGAGAGAAUGUAUUUGGUGUCUGCCAUAUCUUUGCAUCCUUCAAUAACAAUUUUGUCCAUGUCACUGAUCUUUCCAGCAAAGAAGCCAUCUGCCAUGUGACCGGUGGGAUGAAGGUGAAGGCAGACCGAGAUGAAUCCUCGCCGUAUGCUGCUAUGUUGGCUGCCCAGGAUGUGGCCCAGAAGUGCAAGGAGCUGGGCAUCACUGCCCUACACAUCAAACUCCGGGCCACAGGAGGAAAUAGAACCAAGACCCUCGACCUGGAGCCCAGUUGGCCCUUAGGGCCCUUUCCCGCUCGGGUACGAAGAUCGGGCAGAUUCAGGACGUCACCCCCAUCCCUUCUGCCAGCACCCGCAGGAAGGGGGAUCGCCAUGAUAGCCAUUUGUGAAC